rnacentral:rRNA from 1 species
GACGAACGCUGGCGGCGUGCUUAACACAUGCCAGUCGAACGGACAGGCCCUGCUUUUGUGGGGUGCUCGAGUGGCGAACGGGUGAGUAACACGUGAGUAACCUGCCCUUGACUUUGGGAUAACUUCAGGAAACUGGGGCUCAUACCGGAUAGGAGCUCCUGCUGCAUGGUGGGGGUUGGUAAGUUUCGGCGGUUGGGGAUGGAAUCGCGGCUUAUCAGCUUGUUGGUGGGGUAGUGGCUUACCAAGGCUUUGACGGGUAGCCGGCCUGAGAGGGUGACCGGCCACAUUGGGACUGAGAUACGGCCCAGACUCCUACGGGAGGCAGCAGUGGGGAAUAUUGCACAAUGGGCGGAAGCCUGAUGCAGCAACGCCGCGUUCGGGAUGACGGCCUUCGGGUUGUAAACCGCUUUCGCCUGUGACGAAGCGUGAGUGACGGUAAUGAGUAAAGAAGCACCGGCUAACUACGUG